rnacentral:lncRNA from 1 species
AAGCUCGUGUAAGCAAGAUGAAAACCACAGCGCUUUGUAUUUUUUCACUUUUCCUUUCUUCAUCGUUGGUCGAGGGCUCUAUAUAUAUUAAAGAUUGUAAGAAGAGUGGAGACUGCGAGGGACAGACCCGGAAGGAGGGGCUGAAAAUUUAAAAAUGUUGAAGACGAACAUUCGUAGACGCUUAGAGGAGGCACAACGUGAGCGGCAGUACCGGAGAGACAUCUGCUUACAGGCCCGCGAGCUGGGAUGUAAAAUGGACCAAGUGAAAUAAGUUUCCCGCAUUGAAUACUUAUUAAGCAAACUCAAAGUUUAUAACAAAUGUUAUUCUUAAAUGAUAAAAUCGAGAUGUAGAUGUUUAAACCGCUAUCAUCAAUAUUGCAUUUUAGCGAAAUUAAACUGUUUGAAUUGAAU